CCAAAAGAAGAAAGAAAUCCCCAAUCCUCCCAAAUUCACCGCCGCCCCCAAAUCUUCCCUGGAACCACUGCCGCCGCCGGGGCCGACUACCACUCUCCGCGCCGCCACAGGCCACCCUCCGCCGCAUUCUACCCUCCAACCCGACCAUCCCCACCGACGGCCUCCCUCCGUCGCCGCCAACCAUCUCACCGCAGCGCCGCCUUCCUCCUCGACCACCGUCCACUGCCCCCAGGCCCCAACCACCUCACCUUAGCGUCGUCUUCGUCCCCGGCCGGGCCACCAAGAGGCGAGCCUAUGUCGGUUCCUCCCCAAACUCCCAGCACCGGCAGCCGAGCAUCCUCCGCUUCCUCCCCGACUAACGCCGUCGCCGAGCACCCCCCCGCCCCCCCUCCUGUGACCACCCCAAGCAGAGGCACCUCCCCACGCAGCACCGCGACCCAGCUGUUCCGCCAUUCUCUACCAGCCCACAUCCUCAAGCACCCGUUUCCUCCUCCAGGGAGCUCCUUCUCCCGGCAGCACCUUCUCCUCCACUAGCCUCCUCUACGCACUUGGACUAUGCAUCUAAGGAACAAUGGUCUUAAUUCCCUACCACCGUCCUUAUUCAAGAAGUGCUGGCGGCUUACUACACUUGAUCUCCAUGGCACUAGAAUUACAAACGACAUUCUUCGACAGCAUGCCUCCUAUUCAUCCUCUGCACCAAGCAGCGACGUGUCGACUAAGUCAUCUUCCCUGGAUAGCGCCGCCCUCAAGUAUUGUCGCCUCAACACUACUUCCUCGCCUGAGCAGUUCUUCCUCCGCUUCAUCACCCGAGCAGCACCGCCUCCUCUACUUCUCAACCAAUGGAGUUUGUUUGUGUCUCGUGAAGUCUGAUUUACUCAGCAAGGAUUAUGAUGUAUAAUGUUUAUCAGGACCAUGGUAGUCCAUUGGCAAAAGCUACCAUUCUAUGAGUAUAUUUGAAGUGCUGGUAUUUGCUUCUCAAGAUGGCUUUGGUAACACUGUGAAAUAUAUCUUUGACUUGCGGAUCUCCAGUGACUGAAUAUACUUCAAACUUUGGAAGAUGCAUAAAAACUGAAGGUCCGUCUAGGUUGUUAUCCAUGAUUUGAGAAUUUUGGUACUAGUCCUUGCUUCACUGGUUGUAUGUGGUAUUCUCUUUGCUGGACUACUAUUGGGCAUGGGGCUAUCAGCUGAGUUGUACCAAGCCCUACCACUUCUUCGGCCACCAAUGUUGUUUGUCCACCCGCCAUCCCUGUCCAGCAUCUAUCUCGCGCUUACCGGUGCACAACUUCCAGGGAGUCCGGGGUGACAAGAUUGAUGGCAUUGGCUCCAACGUCAUAGCGUCCUGCCGCCUCAGAUGCUGGUUGACCUUAGCGGCUUAGCCCAAUAUGGUUAACUAAAUCAACAACAAGCAGAGCUGGAAGUCGUUUUCGUUGCAACUGUCGAUGUUGGGUCCUAGCCAGAAGAAUCUUCAGGUAGGAUAUUCUCUAUGCAUCAUAUUGCUCAUGUUGUGGUCAGUUUUUGCCUACAAAUGCUGCAUGGACCACAGUUCAGAACAUAAUAUAACUAAGUUGCCUGAUGAAUACACUUUUUAGUAUGAGCGGACAAUUUUUGGUUGUCGAGAGUAGAAUUCGAUUCAUUCCAUAGCAUUACAGGGUCAAGGUUC